UGGGCACCGGGGCGAACGGGCUUACACAUGCAAGUCGAGCGGUAGCACAGGGGAGCUUGCUCNCUGGGUGACGAGCGGCGGACGGGUGAGUAAUGUCUGGGAAACUGCCUGAUGGAGGGGGAUAACUACUGGAAACGGUAGCUAAUACCGCAUAACGUCGCAAGACCAAAGAGGGGGACCUUCGGGCCUCUUGCCAUCAGAUGUGCCCAGAUGGGAUUAGCUAGUAGGUGGGGUAAUGGCUCACCUAGGCGACGAUCCCUAGCUGGUCUGAGAGGAUGACCAGCCACACUGGAACUGAGACACGGUCCAGACUCCUACGGGAGGCAGCAGUGGGGAAUAUUGCACAAUGGGCGCAAGCCUGAUGCAGCCAUGCCGCGUGUGUGAAGAAGGCCUUCGGGUUGUAAAGCACUUUCAGNGAGGAGGAAGGUGGUGANCUUAAUACGNUCAUCAAUUGACGUUACUCGCAGAAGAAGCACCGGCUAACUCCGUGCCAGCAGCCGCGGUAAUACGGAGGGUGCAAGCGUUAAUCGGAAUUACUGGGCGUAAAGCGCACGCAGGCGGUUUGUUAAGUCAGAUGUGAAAUCCCCGGGCUCAACCUGGGAACUGCAUUUGAAACUGGCAAGCUAGAGUCUCGUAGAGGGGGGUAGAAUUCCAGGUGUAGCGGUGAAAUGCGUAGAGAUCUGGAGGAAUACCGGUGGCGAAGGCGGCCCCCUGGACGAAGACUGACGCUCAGGUGCGAAAGCGUGGGGGAGCAAACAGGAUUAGAUACCCUGGUAGUCCACGCUGUAAACGAUGUCGAUUUGGAGGUUGUGCCCUUGAGGCGUGGCUUCCGGAGCUAACGCGUUAAAUCGACCGCCUGGGGAGUACGGCCGCAAGGUUAAAACUCAAAUGAAUUGACGGGGGCCCGCACAAUC
rnacentral:rRNA from 1 species